AGUCAAGUAAUUAAGUGCAUGUGGUGGAUGCCUUGGCAGUCAGAGGCGAUGAAAGACGUGAUAGCCUGCGAAAAGCUCCGGGGAGGCGGCAAAUAUCCUUUGAUCCGGAGAUGUCUGAAUGGGGGAACCCACCUACUUUAAGGUAGGUAUUGCAACAUGAAUACAUAGUGUUGCAAGGCGAACGAGGGGAAGUGAAACAUCUCAGUACCCUUAGGAAAAGAAAUCAAUUGAGAUUCCCUCAGUAGCGGCGAGCGAACGGGGAUCAGCCCAUUAAGUUAUGUGUGUUUUAGUGGAACGCUCUGGGAAGUGCGAACGUAGAGGGUGAUAUUCCCGUACACGAAAGGGCACACAUAAUGAUGACGAGUAGGGCGAGGCACGUGAAACCUUGUCUGAAUAUGGGGGGACCAUCCUCCAAGGCUAAAUACUCCUGACUGACCGAUAGUGAACCAGUACCGUGAGGGAAAGGCGAAAAGAACCCCUGUGAGGGGAGUGAAAUAGAUCCUGAAACCGCAUGCAUACAAGCAGUGGGAGCACCUUCGUGGUGUGACUGCGUACCUUUUGUAUAAUGGGUCAGCGACUUAUAUUCAGUAGCGAGGUUAACCGUAUAGGGGAGCCGUAGAGAAAUCGAGUCUUAAUAGGGCGUUUAGUUGCUGGGUAUAGACCCGAAACCAGGCGAUCUAUCCAUGAGCAGGUUGAAGGUUGGGUAACACUAACUGGAGGACCGAACCCACUGUCGUUGAAAAGCCAGGGGAUGACUUGUGGAUAGGGGUGAAAGGCUAAUCAAGCCUGGUGAUAGCUGGUUCUCCCCGAAAGCUAUUUAGGUAGCGCCUCGGACGAAUACCAUAGGGGGUAGAGCACUGUUUCGGCUAGGGGGUCAUCCCGACUUACCAAACCGAUGCAAACUCCGAAUACCUAUGAGUACUAUCCGGGAGACAGACUGCGGGUGCUAACGUCCGUAGUCAAGAGGAAAACAAUCCAGACCGCCAGCUAAGGCCCCAAAAUCAUAGUUAAGUGGGAAACGAUGUGGGAAGGCAUAGACAGCUAGGAGGUUGGCUUAGAAGCAGCCACCCUUUAAAGAAAGCGUAAUAGCUCACUAGUCGAGUCGGCCUGCGCGGAAGAUGUAACGGGGCUAAAACUAUGUGCCGAAGCUGCGGAUGUAUACUUUGUAUACGUGGUAGGGGAGCGUUCUGUAAGCCGAUGAAGGUGUGUUGAGAAGCAUGCUGGAGGUAUCAGAAGUGCGAAUGCUGACGUGAGUAACGACAAAACGGGUGAAAAACCCGUUCGCCGAAAGACCAAGGGUUCCAGUCCAACGUUAAUCGGGGCUGGGUGAGUCGACCCCUAAGGCGAGGCCGAAAGGCGUAGUCGAUGGGAAAAUGGUUAAUAUUCCAUUACUUCUGUGUAAUGCGAUGAGAGGACGGAGAAGGCUAAAUCAGCCUGGCGUUGGUUGUCCAGGUGAAAGGAUGUAGGCAUGUAUCUUAGGCAAAUCCGGGGUACUCUAUGCUGAGAUCUGAUAGCAAGCUGUACUUGUACAGCGAAGUGGUUGAUGCCAUGCUUCCAGGAAAAGUCUCUAAGCUUCAGUUACACAGGAAUCGUACCCGAAACCGACACAGGUGGUCAGGUCGAGUAGACCAAGGCGCUUGAGAGAACUCUGCUGAAGGAACUAGGCAAAAUGGUACCGUAACUUCGGGAGAAGGUACGCUGUUGUUGGUGAUGGAACUCGCUUCCUGAGCUGACGACAGCCGCAGAAACCAGGCCGCUGCAACUGUUUAUUAAAAACAUAGCACUCUGCAAACACGAAAGUGGACGUAUAGGGUGUGAUGCCUGCCCGGUGCUGGAAGGUUAAUUGAUGGGGUUAGCGUAAGCGAAGCUCUUGAUCGAAGCCCCAGUAAACGGCGGCCGUAACUAUAACGGUCCUAAGGUAGCGAAAUUCCUUGUCGGGUAAGUUCCGACCUGCACGAAUGGCAUAAUGAUGGCGGCGCUGUCUCCAGCAGAGGCUCAGUGAAAUCGAAAUCGCUGUGAAGAUGCAGUGUACCCGCGGCUAGACGGAAAGACCCCGUGAACCUUUACUGCAGCUUGACACUGAACUUUGACCUUACUUGUGUAGGAUAGGUGGGAGGCUUUGAAGCUGGAACGCUAGUUCCAGUGGAGCCGUCCUUGAAAUACCACCCUGGUAAUGUUGAGGUUCUAACUCUGUCCCGUGAUCCGGGACGAGGACCGUGUCUGGUGGGUAGUUUGACUGGGGCGGUCUCCUCCUAAAGAGUAACGGAGGAGUACGAAGGUGCGCUCAGCGUGGUCGGAAAUCACGCGUAGAGUAUAAAGGCAAAAGCGCGCUUAACUGCGAGACCCACAAGUCGAGCAGGUACGAAAGUAGGUCUUAGUGAUCCGGUGGUUCUGUAUGGAAGGGCCAUCGCUCAACGGAUAAAAGGUACUCUGGGGAUAACAGGCUGAUACCGCCCAAGAGUUCAUAUCGACGGCGGUGUUUGGCACCUCGAUGUCGGCUCAUCUCAUCCUGGGGCUGAAGCAGGUCCCAAGGGUAUGGCUGUUCGCCAUUUAAAGAGGUACGCGAGCUGGGUUUAGAACGUCGUGAGACAGUUCGGUCCCUAUCUACCGUGGGCGCUGGAAAUUUGAGAGGAUCUGCUCCUAGUACGAGAGGACCAGAGUGGACGAACCUCUGGUGUACCGGUUGUGACGCCAGUCGCAUCGCCGGGUAGCUAUGUUCGGAAGGGAUAACCGCUGAAA
rnacentral:rRNA from 1 species